GUGUGUGUGUGUGUGUGUGUGUGUGUGUGUGUGUGUGUGUGUAGAGGGAAACAGUGUCUCUUUUUCAUGAGCUCCUCUGCUGUAUAAUUGCUCCCUGCCUCUUCCUGUGAUCCACGCUGAUGUAGGGGAGGGCUCAACUUCUGACGUUAUACAAAUAGGAAUUCCCUUCGCUAGUCUCUCUCACUCCGCUCUCAUUCACUUUCACCCCGUCUGGCCCCCAGACGAACUCACUCUCCCUCUCCCUCUCUCUCUUUAUCUCUCUCUCUCUUUAUCUCUCUCUCUCUCUCUCUCUCUCUCUCUCUCUCUCUCUCUCUCCUAUAUAAACACUUAUAGUGUCUAUACUGGAGUCGGACACUCCCUCUGAGACACAGCUGCUAUAAGGUUCCUCUCACGCUCUGAACGGAGGACAUACAGAGAGAGAAAGCCGUCCGAUCACCCAGGUAAGAGGCCAGUGUCACACUUCUGAACUUUGAAUAACAUCUGCAUGUGGUUUCUCCACUCUCCGCUGUUGCUGUCUAAGUUUCCAAGGCGUUUUGCACUAAAAAAAAAUAAAACACCCCUUGUUCAGCAAUUUGGAGGUUUGUGGUGUAGUUGGUGAUGGUUGGACGGACUUUUUGAGUGAUCCACUUGAGCGUCCAGAGGAAAGGUCAUCCGUAAAUAGUUUCUUUGAAUGGGCCGUCUGAGCGACUGUGCGACAUCUGUCAGCCAGACAUGAGCUCGGGGCGGCGUGAAGCGGAGGUCAUAAAAACGCUCUCAAAACAAGGAGUGCGAGGAUGAGGCUGUGGAGAAAAGCUCAAACAUUCUUCUCAUUGUUCUCAAGUCUCGAAAGACCGUGCCAGACGCUGCACAGCCAAAACAACAUCCAGAGGAAGGCGAAGGACAAAAAAAAAGUGUGGCAAAACCAGAAAGGCCAAGCCGGGAGUAUUAGACGAGGUGUGCAAGCUGGAGCGCUAGAUCACAAGAGAGCGAAAGCGGCCGGAGGUCCGGUAUCAGAUUACCUACAGCGGCUAAACCAAAACUCUAAUUUGAUGGCAACUGUACGGAUCUGGCAAGCAGCAGAGCCAAUGGGAUAUUAUGGGUAUUUUUUCUUCAAUCCCUAAAAUUAGCUGCAUCACUGCAGGAUGAAAGUGUGACUUCUCAUCAUGAGGACAACUGUAAGAAGUAUUUCCUGCUCUUUUCCUCUGUGAGGUGUAACCGCAUCUUUAGUGAGAGGAAAGACUGAGAUCACUGGCAAAAAGAACAACUGUGGCUUCAAUUUAGGGGGGAAAAAGCUGAAAGGAAAGAUCUGAUGGAAAAUAUUAAUGGACAGAGAUCUUCCCGUUUGUGAGGCAUCACUUCAUCAAGUCUAGAUUGGGUGGAUGAUUUCAAGCAUUUGAAAAUCGGGAAAACACAUCACAGUGCUUCAGAUGGUCCAGAUGCCCUUCAAAAGCAAUAUUCGGUCUUAAUGCAUCAUUUCAGAUGCAGUCUAACUUGGAAAGGCGCAUUUUUGUGUGUGGAAAACGCAUAAUGAUUUUUCUAAGAGGAAAAUAUCAUGCAUUUAAACUCUUCUGCAGCUUUCGGUAACUUGACAUUUGAGUUCAAUCCUGAUUUGGGUGUAGAUGUGAGAUCAAAAAAAGUCAGAAUGUCUUUCCCUUACACAUCAAACCAAGUGUCAUUUAUUAAAACAAGGACACUUUUCAAUCAAAGCAUUUCACAAAAUAAAUGUUUUCUUAGGCUUUACAUGAUAAAACAACAGAUAUUCGUUAGAAUUACUGAUGAAGUAAACAUUUUGGUUGUGAAGGCCGUAGUUAAUGUGAUGAAUUACACCUGAUGUUACUCUUAUAGUAAACCUGUGUGAAUAUGAGGACAACACUGAGCAAAAAUGAUGAAAAAAGUGAAGAUAGCAAAGAGAAAAUAUCCUUAAAAUGCAGGUUACAAGCACUUGCUUUGAUAUCUUGUUAUCAAAUGAAAUUCAGGCAUUUUUAACUGCGGCUUUACUGUCCUAACAGUUUUUUGGGGCCUGUGUGUGUGUAAAACCGACAGGCCGUAUCCUCUGAUCAGCAUCUAAAUGACUGUCUCUCUGUAACACUCAACUGCAAAGUCUUAUCGUGCGCAGUUAGUGGGGAAAAAACCUGAAAAAAAUACACCACCGCAAAUAGUCAGUGCUCUAUAAGUAAUGGAGGUCUUUGUUUAGAGCUGGCAGGUUUACUCGCAGCAUCAUCCGGGAUAUUUUAUGUAAAGCAAUAAACAUAAUGCUCUUGGUUUACGUAAGCUAGGAGUUCCCCUGCGUCUGGACAGAUUCAUGUCCUUUUUUUUCCAGUGCUGACAGUUGUAUUGACAAUUGCGAGACGCUGUGAGGAACUGGAACGAUUCUGUCGACUGGUUAUGAUGCUGUAAAUGUUCCUUCAUACAUGUUUAGAGGGAAAAGAUUAGUUUGAAGAGAAUGCAAAGUGACAUGUUACAACUGGAAAAUAUGUUUCUGCUUUAAAAACUCCAAACUGAUGAGUAGCUGUAGGAAAGAUUGCUGUAAUAGAGGUGAAAUGAAGAGCAAACGGAGACUGAUUCUCUUAAGAAAGACUGUAGUUCCCAAAGAUGUGUCUCUUCUAGAACAGAUCUCGGUAAUGUCUCAAAUUGUGCCAAUAUUUGUAUAAUCCAUUGAACUUAAUGCCAUCUACAUUGAUUUUAUAGGUCUAAACUCUUACAACUGUGAAACAAGUCUGGUCCUCUGGGACUUUGUCUUAAAGAAAUCACUAGAUCCUUCACAGGUUUUGUCUGUUUUUUGUCACUCUUUAAAUUUUACUCCAGAUGAGACACAGGGUUUUGAACAGAGCAACAUGUGUAAUGUUUUUUUACGGUCACUCAGCAGGGACUGCACGUCUUUCUGACCUCAUUUCCAACUGUCACUGAAAAGCUAUUUUUAUAAGUCUACAGGAAGCCCAGUCUCUCAGACACUAGAAGAAGGAGGGGCCAGCUGCAGUGACCACGGACUACAUGACAAAAAAUGAGGUGCUUUUGGAAGACACACACACACACACACACACACACACACACACACACACACACACACAUUUUGCAUGUUAAACAGACAAGUGCAGGCAAGUUUACGUUUCUUUCUUCAGUGGAACCCAAAAGAAGAUGUAUAUGCUGCCUCUUAAGCUCCAAAAAGAAACAAAAAGCACCGUUAAAGUCAACAUAGGCCCAUUGUGAAAACAUUCUUCUAGCAACAUUUUUGCAAAACUCCAAAAUACAUGUUAUUCACUGCAGUUUAGUGCUGAAAUUAACACUAUUUGCAGUAAAACACCUACAACUUGUAUUUCUUUUCACGCAAAGUAUGAUUACAGGUUGAAUAUUGAUUAAUAAGGACUUACUUUCACACAUUUCUUUACAUUUAGCAGACACUUUUAUCCAAAGCGACUUACAAUGCAUUCAGGUUAUACAUUGUUUUACCAGUUAUGUGUGUUCCCUGGUAAUUGAACCCAUGACAUUUUGGGCUGCUAAUGCAAUGCUCUACCACUGAGCCACAGGAACAUUCUUUGCACAAUGCUGUGUUAUAACCACAAUUCACUUUUACUAUAGUGCAUGAUUUGUAAACUAACACAUUUUGACGUUUGCAUCACAUAACCAGCUCCAUAAAGUAUGGCUUUUCUAAAGUAAAUUUGCUCUGGAGCUCACCUGAUACAAUGAUGUGCUGCACUCGGUCCGGUGAUACAAGUAAUGAACUCUCUAACUUUCAUUUUAGGCCAAACUCUCCCUUUUUUUCUUAUUUUUUCCCCCCUGUCUGUUUGCUAUCUGUCUGCUGUUCUCACAGAGCCCUUCUGUAUGAUAUGAAAGGACAGAUGUAGAAAUGUAGGACCCCACCUCAGCCAGAAUGACUCAAGCCCAGACCCUCCUCUUCUGCCAGCCAGGGGAAUUCCUGGCAGAGUGAUUUUUAAACCUAAUGACUGAAUCACAUUGCCAGGGAUUUCCAAUGGCUCGUGUGAGGGACUCGACGCGGAGACUGCAGACACGGCAGAUAUAUGCAUUGCAAACACACACACCUAAACACACGAGACCCUAAUCCUGAAGGAAUGCAGACCGUCUCAUACAUGAGUUAGUGGUGACAGAAGUCCCAACUGACGUGCAUUUCUUUGCUGGUUGUGUGGUGUCAGGACUUAACCCACUUGUGAACACUGCAUUGAACUUCUUUGUUCACAGUGGUUAAGUUCUGCCAUCCUGAGACCCAUAUCAGCAAAAGGGAAGUUAAAGCCAAUUGUGCCCUCAAACUAAAUGCAUGCACACUGAGUACUGUGACAUGAUAUUCUCGUUAAUGUACCUGAAAAACUGCAUUAAAGAUGCACUAGAGACUAAUUCUAGGUUUGACUCUUCUUGCUGUCGUCAGUCUCAAGAUGUUGUGACAGGCCUGUUUUAUCUCGUCAGAAGUAAUCUUCAUCUCAGGUGUUUAGCACGAUAUGUAACAAAUGAGCCGUAGCCUGGGAAUAAAAAAACUUGGAUAAACAUCUUUUGUUGGUACUGGAACGAAUUCCUAUUAAACAUGGUGGAUUAUUUUCAGGCGGCGGCCACUUACUUCCUCUAACCCAGCUAACAAAAAUAUGACCCAAGAGUGUCUUUAAUGUUGGUGCUUUUUCUCAAUUAUAAUUAUGUAAUUUUUUGAGUCCUUUUAAAAUCAGUCAAUAAUCUUGUAGACCAGGGGUUCUCAACUCUGGCCCUGGAGGUCCACUUUCUUCCAGAAUUGAGCUCAAACACACCUGAACAAGGAUCAAUAGAAAGUUACUGGCAGGUGAGUUUGAUCAAGGUUGGAGGUAAGAGUAUCCUUCAUUAAACACCAGUGAAUCGAGUACGAUAUCUGGAACCUAUUAACCCUAACCAUUAACUACAUUAAUAAUUAAACGAAUGGUUGAUAUGAACGCUGUUCCAGGACCAACAAAAGAUAUUGAUCCAGGUACCCAUCUUACUGAAAUGACAUAGAAAUAGGGAUGGAAAUGUCAGUUUUUAGACUGUAAAAAAGAUACUGCAUAUGUCUUUUGUAAGUUUGCAACUGUUAAUCCUCUCAGUGAAGCUGAAAAAUUCAUGCAUUCAAUGAAAUCUGAAAAUCAGCACUUCAGUUUGUGAGUUUUCUCAGUGAAAUGAGGCAACUAGUAAUGGGGCAUAUUAUUUUUACCUCAAUUCGAACUGUCUCAAAAAAUUACAAAAGCAUGACAUUUUCAUGCAAAAUAUAGGCAUAAACAGCGAACACAAACUUGAUGUUAAAGUUCACCAACAGGGAUGUUUAGGACAGUUGCUAAGUGACCACUCCAGUUUCAACAAAAUCUCUUCACACAAAGGCGGAAUUUAUGGCGGGGCAGCCAUUCAGAAACUGUUUGUAUCCAAGACCCAAACGAUGCAUUAAACACAAAACAACGGGGAAAAAAUGGUCCAGUGAGUCAUCUUUUACCAUAUUUCCGGCAUCCAGGCGGGUGUAUCUUUCAGGAAAGCCAAAAGAUGCCUGCAGCCCGGGUUCACGAACACCGUUCUAGCAUAAUGCUCCCAUAUACAGCUAAAAUUCAAGCAUGAUUUUAAGAAUGCCUUCACUGCCUGACCCAUUACAGAACCUUCUGAAGGACAUAGAUUCACAUCUCCAUUCACUCUGAAAGAACUGGCGGCUUCAUGAAGAAUAAUGUGCUGAAACUAUUAAAACAAAGUGUGGCCGUGAUAUCGAUCGAUAGAUAGAUAGAUAGAUAGAUAGAUAGAUAGAUAGAUAGAUAGAUAGAUAGAUAGAUAGAUAGAUAGAUAGAUA
ensembl:lncRNA